UUGAACUGAAGAGUUUGAUCCUGGCUCAGAUUGAACGCUGGCGGCAUGCCUUACACAUGCAAGUCGAACGGCAG
rnacentral:rRNA from 3 species